GACGAACGCUGGCGGUGUGCUUAACACAUGCAAGUCGACCGGUAAAGGCCUUUCGGGGGUACACGAGUGGCGAACGGGUGAGUAACACGUGAGUAACCUGCCCUCAUCUCUGGGAUAACAGUCGGAAACGGUUGCUAAUACUGGAUAUGAGCUUGCAAGGCAUCUUGUGGGUUGGAAAGAUUUUUUUGGUUGGGGAUGGACUCGCGGCCUAUCAGCUUGUGGUGAGGUAGUGGCUCACCAAGGCUUCGACGGGUAGCCGGCCUGAGAGGGCGACCGGCCACAUUGGGACUGAGAUACGGCCCAAACUUCUACGGGAGGCAGCAGUGGGGAAUAUUGCACAAUGGACGGAAGUCUGAAGCAGCAAACCCGCGUGCGGGAUGACCGGGCUUCGGGUUGUAAACCGCUUUCAAUUGUGACGAAGCUUUUUUGUGACGUA
rnacentral:rRNA from 2 species